UACGAAGGGGGCUAGCGUUGUUCGGAAUUACUGGGCGUAAAGCGCACGUAGGCGGAUAUUUAAGUCAGGGGUGAAAUCCCAGAGCUCAACUCUGGAACUGCCUUUGAUACUGGGUAUCUUGAGUAUGGAAGAGGUGAGUGGAAUUCCGAGUGUAGAGGUGAAAUUCGUAGAUAUUCGGAGGAACACCAGUGUCGAAGGCGGCUCACUGGUCCAUUACUGACGCUGAGGUGCGAAAGCGUGGGGAGCAAACAGG
rnacentral:rRNA from 1 species